GAUAACACCUGGAAACAAGUGCUAAUACCGCAUAAGACCACGACCCGACAUCGGGAUGAGGUCAAAGGAGCAAUCCGCUGAGGGAGGGGCUCGCGUUCCAUUAGAUAGAUGGCGGGGUAACGGCCCACCAUGUCGACGAUGGGUAGCCGAGCUGAGAGGCUGAUCGGCCACACUGGAACUGAGACACGGUCCAGACUCCUACGGGAGGCAGCAGUGGGGAAUAUUGGGCAAUGGGCGAAAGCCUGACCCAGCAACGCCGCGUGAGGGAAGAAGGCCUUCGGGUUGUAAACCUCUGUCCUUGGUGACGAAANAAAAUGACGGUAGCCAAAGAGGAAGCCCCGGCUAACUACGUGCCAGCAGCCGCGGUAAUACGUAGGGGGCGAGCGUUGUCCGGAAUUACUGGGCGUAAAGGGUGCGUAGGUGGCCUUUUAAGUUGGAUGUGAAAUCCCCGGGCUUAACUUGGGUGGUGCAUCUAAUACUGGAGGGCUAGAGUGCAGGAGAGGGAAGCGGAAUUCCUAGUGUAGCGGUGAAAUGCGUAGA
rnacentral:rRNA from 1 species